AACACUGUGCUAGCAACAAUACAAAUCAACACUGAGCUCCUUGAGAACUGUUUUUCUGUAUAGGGGACCCACUCAGUUCUCAAGUUCAAGAGAUACGAUCAUACCAGUGCUUCUCCCAAUGCAUUUGUACCCUCUAUUGUUUCAGGUUUAAGGUGCCAGGGAAACAAGUAACCAAUCACAAAGGAGUGCCAACUGUGUAACAAUAGUGAGGGGACUCAUGAAAAUUCUAAUGUUUAUCAUUUUAUUCCUGCCUUGUGAAAAUAUAACAGUCUAGGCCUGGAUGUCUCACUGAUGAAGCUGUGAGAGCUCUUGCCUGAAUCAGCUAAACUCUUUGGGCCUUAUUUUCCGCAUUUGCAAAAUCAAAGAUUUAAACUAGACUGGUGUUCCCAAAAGCAAGAAGACUGUAGUUGGCACAAGGAUGAACUUUUUUUUUUUUUACUAAUUAUGUUUAACACAUACUUGAAAAAAUUUUAACUAACACAUAAAACCUGGGGUUUUACUGAGUGCUUGCACCCUCGAUGGCUCAAAGGGGAGCUCUGUUGACUGUGGCCUAGAACCCAAGGCCCUGAGGACAAGGACCUGUGACUGGGAACCAUCUGAGCCCAGGUAGAAACGGAGUGACUAGGAAGCAGCACUCAGCCUUGCAGGCUGUCUAGUUAGUGAGUACAGCUGCCUGAGCGGAUUCCCCAAUCCUGUACUGCGACACUUAAAACAGAUCACUAGAAACUGGAACCUCAAGAGAUGGAGGGGAGGGGACCCUAAAUUUCUCCUCAUGAUCCAACUUACCUGUCCACAGGAGGCAUCACCUGCUUGCAUGGAAGUAGGAAUAGCUGAAUUGGGUGGCCUGGACUGCAGAGGAGCGAAGCACUUUGUCAGAGAAUCCUCUGUUGCUUGGGUGACUGAAGUAGUGCCCAUUCCUGGUGGAAACAUGGAUGUUGGCCUCCUUAACUGCCUCCCAGAGAUCAUUCAACUGGUAGAGUUAUGGUGGGAACAUUGGUUUGACUGUGGUGAAGCUAUAAAUGCUCAAUUAAAAUUUAUUGAAUGAAUUAAUGAACCAAAUGAAUGGUUCCAGUUUGGACAAAUCAGAGCAGUUUCAGAAGCAUUUUUAUUUCUAAGAAUUCUAUAAUCAAAUUUUAUCAAACUCUUGAAUGCAUUGAAAACUCCUUUCUGAAUAUGGCCUACAUUUGACAGCAAAAGGAUUAGGAAAUGGAAGGAAACUUUUACUGAGCGCCUGACAUAUGCCAGGUAUUUUGCUGAUGUCUGUAUAUUUCUUUAAGCUCUGUAACCAUUUUGUGGUGUUGGAAACUAGAUCUCAGGGCUAAAUAACUUGUCGGUGGCCUUUCAGGGAGCAAGUGGCAGAGCUAGGAUUGUUGUCCUAAACCAACUAUGAGUAGCACUCCCUUCCACUUUCAAUAGUGUUCUACUGUGGAUCAUAAAGUCUAAGGCUGCCCUAUCUAUAUAUGAGGUCUUGAUUCUAUGAUUUCAAAUUGAAUCUAAUAAUUUUUUUGAUUACUGAAGCAACAGGAACUUUCAUUUCCCAGGCCUGUGAAGUAUGAGGGACUGACAGCACAUGAAGUGACCCCUGUCUAGAGUUUGCUUUACAUUUCUGAUACAGAAAUUCUGCUAUUUCUCCUUUAAAAGUAUAGUUGUUAAUCCCCUUCUGGUCAGUUUGGUUCUAGUUAAUUUGGGAUUAUUAUAUAAGUAUUUACUUCUAUUAAUAGUGGCUACCACUUAUUGAGUGCUUAGAGUAAGUCAGGCUAAGUACAUGGUCUCAUUUAAUGCAUUUAUUAAUAUUAUAAGAUAGUUUCUUACUUUCUAGAUAAGGAAACUGACACUCAGAGCAAUUAAGUGACUUGAAGGAAGAGAUGAAAGCAGAUUUUCCUAAUCUCUUAACCUUUAUACUACAUUAAGAUGUGUAUACAAACACACAGCAGAUAAUUUAAAAAACUGUCAAAGUUGGAGACAAGAUGGCAGGUAGAAGGACUUGAGUUCACCUUCUCUCAUGAUAACACCAAAAUCACAACUGACUGCUGAACCACCACUGACAAAAAAGAUCCGAACCUACCAAAAAAGACAUUCUACCCCAAAGAAGCCACAACAAGAUGGUAGGGGGGUACUUUUGUGAUAUAGUCAAAUCCCAUAUUUCCAAGUGGGUGGCCUACAAACUGUAAAAUAAUUAUAUUGCUGAGGAUCUCCCACAGGAGUGAGAGUUCUGAGCCCCAUGUCAGGCUCCCCAGCCUAGAGGUCUGGCACUGGAAGGAGGAACCCCAGGAGCACUUGGCUUUGAAAUAGGCAGGGCUUGAGUGCAGAAGCUCCACAGGACUGAGGGAAACAGAUUCUACUCUUAGACGGCUCACACAAGCUUUCACUCUGGGACCCGGGGCAAAGCAAUGACACCAUAGAAGCCUGGGCCAGACCUACCUGUGAGUCUUUGAGAGUCUCCUGCGGAGGCAGCAGUCAGCUGUGGUUUACUGCGGAGGCAAGGACACUGGUGGCAGAUGCACCAGGGAAUGCUCCUCUGCAUGAAUUCUCCUGGAGGUUGCCAUUUUGGCACUGAGACCUGGUCCCGCCCAACAGCCUACAGGCUCCAAUGCUGGGACGCCUCAGGCCAAACCAACAAGGUUGGAACACAGCCCCACCCAUCAGCAGACAGGCUGCCUGAAGUCAUCCUGAGCCAACAGCUGCCAAUAAACACACCCCUUAACAUGGGCCCUAGCCAUCAGAGUGACAAGACCCCAUUCCACCCACCAGUGGACAGGCCAGUCCCUCCCACCAGGAAGCUUGCACAAGCCCCUGGACCAAAUUCACCCAUAAGGGGCAGACUCCAGAACUAAGAAGAAUGACAAUUCUGUAGCAUGAGGAAUGGAGACCACAAACACAGGAAGUUAGGCAAAAUGAGACAGUAGAGAAAUAUGUUCUAGAUGAAGGAACAAGAUAAAACCCCAGAACAACAACUAAGUGAAGUGGAAACAGGCAAUGUACCUGAAAAAGAAUUCAGAGUAUUGACAGUAAAGAUCACCCAAGAUCUCAGAAAAAGAAGGGAGGCAGAGACCAAGAGGAUGCAAGAAAUGUUCAAUGAAGAGCUAGAAGAUUUAAAGAACAAACAAACAGAGAUGAACAAUACAAUAACUGAAAUGAUAACUACACUGGAAGGAAUCCAUAACAGAAUAAAUGAGCAGAAGAAUGAACAAGUGAGCUGGAAGAUUGGCAGAAAUCACUGCAGGGGAACAAAAUAAAGAAAAAAGAAUGAAAAAAAGUGAGGACAAUCUAAGAGACGUCUGGGACAACAUUAAAUACACCAAUAUUCACAUUAUGGGGGCCCCAGAAGGAGAAGAGAAAGAGAAAGGGUCUGAGAAAAUAUUAGAAAAAAGAUAAUAGUCGAAAACUUCCCUAACAUGAGAAAGUAAAUAGUCACUCAAGUCCAGGAAUCCCUGAGAGUUCCAUACAGGAUAAACCGAAGGAGGAAUAUAAUGAGACACAUAUUAAUCAAAUUGACCAAAAUUAAAGA